GGAAGACAGAAAGGUAUUAGUAUGGUUCCAUGGUGGACAUGGGAAGCAGAAAGCAAUGAAACGCAGUGAUGCAAGGAAUUCACCAACACCAACAACACCAACACCUCGCUGCACUCGUCUCCGCGGCCCUCCCCAAGGACGAUUCCGACGAAGACCCCUCCCCUCGCCUGGCAGCGAUCCACUCCCUCCACCGCGCCAUCCUCCACCCUCAUAACUCCCUCCUCCUCUCUCACUCCGCCACUUUCCUCGCCCAGGCCUUCUCCCAACUCCUCUCCGACAAAUGCUACGAGGUGCGGCAGGCCGCGGUCACAGCCUACGGUGCGCUCUGCGCUGUGGCCGCUUCAAUCCCUGUCGCUUCCAACGGAAGACAAAACCUCCUCAUGCUCGUCGACCGCUUCAUCGGCUGGGCGUUGCCGUCUCUCAGCACAGCCGUCGCAGUCGAUGGCACUAAAGAGCUCGCGCUGGAAGGCCUCCGCGAGUUCCUCAACGUUGGUGGAACGGACAGGUACGCUUUGCCUAUUUUGAAGGCCUGUCAGGUGCUGCUUGAGGAUGAGAGAACCUCUCUGGCUCUGUUACACAGACUUAUUGGUGUUAUUACUUUGAUAUCGUUGAAGUUUGUGAGGUGCUUUCAGCCUCAUUUCCCUGACAUUGUUGACUUGCUUCUCGGUUGGGCUUUGAUGCCGGAUUUAGCUCAAUCGGAUAGGCGUGUUAUUUUGGAUAGCUUCUUGCAGUUUCAGAAGCAUUGGGUUGGCAGUCUUCCCAUGUCCUUGAGAUUGCUCACUAAGUUCUUGGGGGACAUGGAGGUUUUGCUUCAUGAUGGAACUCCAGGCACGCCGCAACAGUUUCGGCGGCUUCUUGCUCUGCUUUCUUGUUUUUCAACUAUUCUGCAGUCCACUGCCUCGGGAUUACUGGAGAUGAACCUUCUUGAACAGAUAUGCGAGCCGCUUAGCGCCCUGCUGCCAAGAUUGCUACGGUGUUUAUCAAUGAUUGGGCAGAAAUUUGGGUGGUCUGAGUGGAUUGAGGAUUCCUGGAAGUGUCUGACUCUUUUGGCUGAGAUUUUGCAGGAGCGGUUUUCAAGUUUUUAUCCUCUUGCUGUUGAUAUUUUGUUUCAGAGCUUGGAGUUUGGAGUGACAGUGCAGCGGCCAGGGUUGAAGAAGAUGAGCUCUUUCCAAGUCCAUGGGGUUUUGAAGACUAAUCUUCAGUUGUUGUCGUUGCAAAAGCUUGGCCUCCUUCCAUUGUCCGUGAAGAAGUUAUUGAAGUUUGAUGCAUCGGUCUCUCAACUGCGGUUGCAUCCGAAUCAUUUGGUGACUGGGAGUUCUGCAGCUACUUACGUUUUUUUGCUUCAGCAUGCGAAUAAAGAAGUCGUUGAUGAAGCAGUCAUCUCGUUGAUUGAGGAACUGGAGCUCUUGAAGAGUUUAAUAGGAAACAAUAAUGGCCAUUCAUAUGAAUUCAAUCGUAUUAUAGAUACUAAAACAUUUUCAGAAGCUGAGUUAUUGGCCUUAAUCAAGUUUGAUUUGAAAGUACUAUUAGCGUGUGUUUGCAUGGGUGAGGACAACAGUUUGAUUAAACAAAAGGAUAUUGCUUCGUUGUAUCUCAGGAGGUUAGAAAAGUUAGAGUCGUUUAUAACAAAACAGAUGAAUCCUUUUGAAUUACCAAUCCAGAAUUUCAUGGAGUUGCAGAUCACUGUUGUUAAGACAUUGGAGCGGCUAAAUUCAGUUGAGUUCUUAAUUAAGUGUUCUGUGAGAGAAGAGAAUUGUGAGAAGACCUUAGUUGAAUUUCCAACUGAAAAGGAGGACAGAGAUGAUCAAUUCAGUAAUGAGCGUUUGGCUGUGAUUACUGAGCAUUUGGAGAAGUACAGCAAGCUCGUUGUAAAAGCCUUUCAUGUUUCUUCUCCUCUGGCAAUUAAAUUAAUUGUUCUAGAUUGGGGACAAAAGUUCUGCGAGAGUGUAAUGGCAGUUAAUAAGAUCUCAAGCAUUAGCGGUUUUUCCUACGAAGCAUGUGAGUAUGCUAGUGUAAUCAUGAACUUAGUUUUUUCACUUUUAGGUGGUACAUUUGAGAGGGAACAGGAAGUGAGGUCACAUGUUGCAAUAACUCUGGAGAUGUUUAUGCAGGCAAAACUUUUGCAUCCUGUGUGUUUUUAUCCCUUAGCUGAAGUCAUACUGGAGAAACUUGGGGAUCCAACUAUAGAAAUACGGGAUGCAUAUGUAAGACUUCUUGCCCAUAUUUUGCCUACUACUAUAUAUACAUGUGGUUUGUAUGAUUAUGGAAGAUUUAGGUCUGUUGACCCUGUGUUAGGAAACAAUUCUAAGCUGCACUGGAAACAAUUAUUUGCCCUGAAGCAGUUGCCACUGCAACUGCACUCCCAACAUCUUGUGUCAAUCUUAAGUUACAUUUCACAAAGAUGGAAGGUACCUCUUUCUUCUUGGAUCCAGCGUCUCAUUCAUAGUUGCCAGAGUUCAAAGGAUGCUAUUUUAAGUCUACCUGAAGAAACAGGAAUUUUUGGUGCUAAUUCUCCAUGGUUGGAUAUACGAGUGGAUGAAGACAUACUUGAAAAAAUCUGUUCUGUCAAUAAUUUGGCUGGUGCCUGGUGGGCUGUACAAGAAGCAGCUCGGUACUGUAUUGCUACAAGACUACGGACUAACCUUGGUGGCCCCACCCAAACAUUUGCUGCUCUAGAGCGUAUGCUUUUGGACAUUGCACACCUUUUGCAACUUGAUAAUGAGCAAAGUGAUGGGAACUUAAGUAUGAUAGGGUCUUCUGGUGCUCACUUGCUACCAAUGAGAUUAUUGUUGGAUUUUGUUGAGGCUCUUAAGAAAAAUGUAUAUAAUGCAUACGAGGGGUCUGUCAUUUUACCACCUGCUACUCGUCAGAGUACUUUAUUUUUUCGAGCAAACAAAAAAGUAUGUGAGGAUUGGUUUUCUCGUAUUUGUGAGCCAAUGAUGAAUGCCGGGCUGGCUGUACAUUGUAACGAUGCUGUUAUUCAGUAUUGUACACUGCGUUUGCAGGAGCUCAAGAAUCUCUCUGUGUCAACUUUGAAGGAAAAAUCUAGGACCCAGGUAACUGAUAACCUCCACAAUAUCAGAGGGAGGUAUAAAGGAGAUGUCUUGAAAGUUUUAAGAGAUGUUUCACUAGCUCUUUGCAAGAGUUCUGAUCCAGAGUCUUUGAUUGGCCUUGAAAAAUGGGUUUCUAUUACCUUCUCCUUACUCGGGGAUGAAAACCAGUCCUUCAGUGAGGGUGGAACUGUUGGACCACUUUCUUGGAUAAGUGGGCUUAUAUAUCAGGCAAGAGGUGAGUAUGAAAAUGCUGCAGCUCACUUUACGCACUUGCUACAGACAGAAGAGUCACUCAGCUCCCUUGGUUCUGAUGGUAUACAGUUUGUCAUAGCACGCAUAAUUGAGAGUUAUACGGCUGUAUCUGAUUGGAGAUCUCUUGAAACCUGGCUGUUAGAAUUACAACAACUUCGUGCUAAACAUACUGGUCGAAGUUAUUCUGGUGCUCUAACAAUUGCUGGAAAUGAAGUUAAUGCAAUCCAUGCAUUAGCACGUUUUGAUGAGGGUGAUUAUCAGGCUGCAUGGUCAAGCCUUGAUUUGACACCUAAAAGCAAUAAUGAGCUUACCCUUGAUCCAAAAAUAGCCUUGCAACGGAGUGAGCAGAUGCUCUUGCAAUCUUUGCUCUUUCAGAAGGAGGAAAAAAGUGAUAAGGUACUGCAUGAUCUGCAGAAAGCAAGGUCAAUGUUGGAGGAACCACUUUCUGUUCUGCCACUUGAUGGCUUAGCUGAAGCAACACCUCUUGCAAUUCAAUUGCACUGCAUUUUCCUUGUAGAAGAUAAUUGCAAGCUUAAAACAAAUCAUGAGAAAGCCAAACAACUACCAUCAAUACUGAAUUCUCUUGAAUCACUACCAUCUUCCAUUAGUAAAAUCCGUCAAGAUUGUAAUCCAUGGCUGAAAGUUCUUAGGGUUUAUAAAACCAUUUCCCCAAGUUCUCCCGUCACUCUAAAAUUUUGCAUUAAUUUGCAUAACUUAGCCCGCAAGCAAAAUAAUCUUUUGUUGGCAAAUCGUCUGAACAACUACAUAAAAGAUCAUGUAUUUGCUUGCCCCGAGGAGAGGCAUCGAAAUCUUCUGGUCUUAAACUUGCAGUACGAGAGCAUUUUACUACAAUAUGCUGAAAACAAGUUUGAAGACGCUUUCACAAACCUUUGGUCAUUUUUGCAUCCUUGCAUGGUUUCUCCAAAACCAUCUAUAAUAUCUGACGUUAAAGAGAGGAUUCUGAAGGCCAAAGCAUGCUUGAAACUCUCAGAUUGGCUGAGACGAGAUUAUUCAGACUGGAGUCCAGAGGGUGUUGUUCUCAAGAUGGCAGCAGAUUUUGAUUUGGCUGAAUCAUCUCCAUGUGGCAAAGAUGGCAGCAAAGAAAACUUAAGUUGCAAAUCAAAUUUGGGUUCUAUUAUUGAGGAAAUUGUUGGUACAACAACAAAAUUGUCUUCUCGUAUUUGCCCCACCAUGGGCAAGUCAUGGAUUUCUUAUGCUUCCUGGUGCUUUAAGCAAGCAAGAGACUCACUCCAUGUUCAUAGUGAAACUAUCCUUCAUUCAUGCUCGUUUUCUUCCAUGCUUGUUCCAGAAAUUCUACCUGACAGAUUCAAGUUGACUGAGGAUGAGGUGCGAAGAAUUAAGUCAUUGGUUUUGUGUCUUUUUCAGGACAAUAUUGAUAUGAAAGGUUUCACAGAUGAACAGGAAGAACGAAGCUCUUGGCUUGAUUCUGCAGAGCUCUCAAUUAGUGAGAGUCCUCUGCAGAAAUUGGUUUGGAAUAUAGUGAAUGUUAUAGAAACCGCUGCAGGGGCAUCAGGUGCAGAAAACUCUGGUGGUGAAUGUCUUUCAGACAUGGUAUCUUCUCAAUUGAGGAUUUGUUUGUUAAGCACAAAUUUUGGGCUCGGAGAAUCUGACAUUACUUCUGCAUUGGAUAAUUUUGUUGAUAUCUGGUGGUCUUUGAGAAGGAGGAGAGUGUCCUUGUUUGGACAUGCUGCUCAUGGUUACAUACAAUAUCUUUCUUAUUCAUCUUCCCGUAUUUGCCAUAGUCAAGUGCCUGGUUCUGAAUAUGAGACUUUGAAGCAAAAGGCUGGCAGCUACACCCUGAAGGCUACAUUGUAUAUAUUGCAUAUACUUCUCAAUUAUGGUGUGGAAUUGAAAGAUACUCUUGAAUCUGCUCUUCUGGUUGUUCCUUUGUUGCCAUGGCAGGAGGUUACACCUCAACUGUUUGCACGUAUAAGUUCACAUCCUGAACAAGUGAUUCGAAAGCAGUUGGAGGGUUUACUAACAAUGCUGGCGAAACAAUCUCCAUAUUCUAUAGUGUACCCAACACUAGUUGAUGUUAAUGCUUAUGAAGAGAAACCUUCAGAAGAGCUUCAUCAUGUGUUGGGCUGUCUGAGAGAACUUUACCCCCGACUGGUUCAGGAUGUUCAGCUUAUGAUAAAUGAACUCGGAAAUGUUACUGUUCUCUGGGAGGAGUUAUGGCUGAGUACUCUUCAGGAUCUUCAUACAGAUGUGAUGAGACGGAUAAACUUACUGAAAGAAGAGGCAGCAAGAAUUGCAGAAAAUGUAACACUUAGUCAGAACGAGAAGAACAAGAUAAAUUCUGCUCGAUAUUCUGCAAUGAUGGCUCCAAUAGUUGUGGCUUUGGAGCGUCGAUUAGCUUCAACGUCUCGAAAACCUGAGACUCCUCAUGAAGCUUGGUUCCAGGAAGAGUAUAAAGACCAACUAAAAUCAGCCCUAGUAUCAUUUAAAAUCCCUCCAGUAUCUUCUGCAGCUAUAGGUGAUGUGUGGCGACCUUUUGAUAGUAUUGCUGCAUCCUUGGCCUCAUAUCAGAGGAAGUCUUCGGUUUCCUUGGGAGAAGUGGCUCCACAUUUGUCUUUGUUAUCAUCUUCAGAUGUUCCAAUGCCAGGUCUUGAGAGACAAAUGCAAGUACCGGACUCUGACAAAGCAACUGAUCACCAAGGGGUUGUCACAAUUGCUUCUUUUCAUGAGCAAGUUACCAUCUUACCAACAAAGACAAAGCCUAAGAAACUAGGUAUUCUUGGUUCCGAUGGUCAGAAAUACACAUAUCUCCUCAAAGGACGAGAAGAUUUGCGCCUUGAUGCUAGAAUCAUGCAAUUAUUGCAGGCUAUAAAUGGUUUUCUGCAUUCUUCAUCUUCUGCAUGUAGCAAUUCUCUUACCAUUCGCUAUUAUUCUGUUACUCCAAUCAGUGGUCGGGCUGGCCUAAUCCAGUGGGCGGGCAAUGUGGUAAGUAUUUACAGUGUAUUUAAAUCUUGGCAAACCCGUGUCCAGCUAGCACAGUUUUUGGCAUUGGGCUCUGCAAAUACAAAAUCCUCAGCUCCUCCACCUGUUCCACGUCCCAGUGAUAUGUUUUAUGGGAAGAUCAUACCUGCACUUAAAGAGAAAGGCAUAAAGAGGGUGAUUUCCCGAAGAGACUGGCCUCAUGAAGUCAAAUGUAAAGUUCUUCUUGAUCUCAUGAAGGAAGUGCCAAGGCAUCUUCUUUACCAGGAGCUGUGGUGUGCUAGUGAAGGAUAUAAAGCUUUCAGCUCAAAAUUGAAGAGGUAUACAGGAAGUGUUGCUGCAAUGAGUAUGGUUGGUCAUGUUUUGGGACUGGGAGACAGGCAUUUAGACAACAUUCUUAUAGAUUUUUGUAAUGGGGAUAUCGUACACAUUGAUUACAAUGUGUGUUUUGACAAGGGACAAAGACUAAAAAUUCCAGAGAUUGUUCCUUUCCGUUUGACCCAAAUAAUUGAAGCAGCUUUAGGGCUAACUGGAAUAGAGGGUAGCUUCAGAUCAAACUGCGAGACAGUUAUUGGUGUUUUAAGGAAGAACAAAGAUGUGCUUUUGAUGUUAUUGGAAGUGUUUGUUUGGGAUCCACUUGUGGAAUGGACACGAGGUGAUUUUCAUGACGAAGCUGCAAUUGGCGGUGAAGAGAGAAAAGGUAUGGAGUUGGCUGUCAGCUUAAGUCUAUUUGCAUCUCGAGUACAGGAAAUUCGGGUUCCCUUACAGGAACACCAUGAUCAAUUAUUGACAAGCCUGCCAGCUGUUGAAUCAGCACUUGAGAGGUUUGGUGAUGUUCUAAACAAAUACGAGCUUACCUCUAGUCUGUACUGUCGAGCUGACCAGGAGAGGUCAACCCUUAUAUUGCAUGAGACAUCUGCAAAGUCAAUUGUUGCUGAAGCAACCAGUAAUUCAGAGAAAAUUCGAGCUUCUUUUGAAAUUCAGGCUCGGGAAUUUGCUCAAGCAAAGGCUAUGGUUGCUGAGAAAGCUCAGGAGGCAAUGACUUGGGCUGAGCAGCAUGGAAGGAUUCUUGAUGCUUUACGGUGUAACUUAAUCCCAGAAAUAAAUGCUUCUUUUAAGCUGAAUAACAUGGAAACGGUCAUAUCACUUACAUCUGCUGUCAUUGUAGCAGGGGUUCCACUAACUGUUGUUCCUGAGCCAACACAGGCACAGUGCCAUGAUAUAGAUAGGGAAGUUUCUCAAUUCAUAGCUGAGUUGGGUGAUGGACUAACUUCUGCCACAGCUUCUUUGCAAGCAUACUCCUUGGCCCUGCAAAGAAUUCUACCGUUAAAUUACCUUUCAACCAGUGCAGUGCAUAACUGGGCACAAGUUCUACAACUUUCUAUCAAUGCCCUGUCCUCAGAUAUGCUCUCUCUUGCCAGAAGACAGGCUUCUGAACUUAUUGCAAAGCUUCAUGUAGAUAACAGUGAUUCUAUUAAAUUCAGUCAUGAUGAUCUCUGUUUCAGAGUGGAGAAGUAUGCAGUUGAAAUAGAAAAAAUAGAAAAAGAGUGUGCUGAAAUAGAGAGUUCUAUUUGCUCUGAAUCAGAAUCAAAAACUAAGGAUCGUCUCUUAUAUGUUUUUAUGAAAUUCAUGCAGUCCAUUGGUCUUUUAAAGAAGGAAGUUGGAAAUUCUUCUGUUCAAUCUAAAUAUGACAGUGAGAUGAACAAUGCUAGACCUUUAGGAGAGCUAGAAGAGGAGAGGGAGAAAGUAUUUUCAAUUUUGAAUAUUGCCGUGAGUUCACUUUAUAGCGAGGUUAAGCAUACAAUAUUAAAUAUUUAUAAUGAUACAUCCGGAGGGAGAAAUCAAUACAAUAUGUUGCAGAACGAUUCUGGAACUAUUUUUGCUGAGUUUGAAGAACAAGUAGAAAAAUGUAAUCUUGUGACAGAAUUUGUUCAUGAUCUAUGCCAAUUUAUAGGAAAGGACAUCCCUUCUGUUGAUAUUAACCAAGUUCGUUUGAAGAUUUUUUCUGAAAGUAAUUGGGUUUCCAUUUUCAGUAAUAUUUUAAUUUCCUGUAAAGGACUGAUUAGUCAAAUGACAGAAGUUGUUCUGCCAGAUGUAAUACGAGCUGCUGUUUCAUUAAAUUCAGAGGUUAUGGAUGCAUUUGGAUUGAUCUCACAAGUUCGGGGAUCUAUAGAAACUGCACUGGAGCAGCUUAUGGAGGUUGAAAUGGAGAGAGUAUCACUCAUUGAACUUGAACAGAACUAUUUUGUUAAGGUUGGUCUUAUUACUGAGCAGCAGCUGGCCCUUGAAGAAGCUGCAGUUAAGGGCAGAGAUCAUCUUUCUUGGGAAGAGGCAGAGGAACUUGCAUCCCAAGAGGAAGCUUGUAGAGCACAACUGGACCAACUUCAUCAAACAUGGAAUCAAAGGGAUAUAAGGACUUCGUCUCUUACCAAGAGAGAAACAGACAUUAAAAAUGCCUUGGUUUCUGUGAAUUGUCAAUUUCAAUCUCUUGUUGGUGUGGAAGAAGAAAGGGAGCUACAUAUUUUGAGAAGCAAAGCACUACUGGCCUCACUAGUUAAGCCUUUCUUGGAAUUGGAAUCCAUUGAUAUUUUGCUGUCUUCGACUGAUGGUUCAGUUGCCAUGCCCACGAGUAAAUUUCAUACUUUGACAGAUUUGAUAAACUCUGGGAAUUCUAUCUCUGAAUAUGUCUGGAAAGUUGGAGGUCUAUUGGAUAAUCAUUCCUUCUUUAUUUGGAAAAUAGGAGUCAUAGAUUCUUUUCUUGAUGCAUGCAUUCAUGACAUAGCUUCAUCAGUUGAGCAAAAUCUAGGCUUUGACCAAUCACUCAAUUUUAUGAAGAAAAAACUUGAAAUCCAACUUCAGAAACACAUUGGUCACUAUUUAAAAGAAAGAGUUGCUCCUAGUUUACUGGCUUGUUUAGAUAAAGAAAAUGAGCACUUGAAGCAACUUACAGAGUCAUCAAAGGAACUUGCUUUAGACCAGGGGAAAAAGGAUGGGGCUGUGAAAAAAGUUAUACUUAUGCUUGAAGAAUAUUGUAAUGCACAUGAAACUGCUAGAGCAGCGAAAUCAGCUGCUUCUAUCAUGAAAAACCAAGUGAGUGAGUUAAAAGAAGCUCUUCGAAAAACUGCCCUUGAGGUAGUUCAAAUGGAAUGGAUGCAUGAUGUUAGUUUGAACCCAUCAUAUAACAGAAGAAUCAGAUUUGAGAAGUAUCUAGAUACUGAUGACAGCUUGUAUACAAUCAUUUUAAAUCUCAACCGAUCUAAAUUACUGGACAAUGUACAAUCUGCUGUGUCAAAAAUCACAACAUCAAUGGAUUGUCUUCAGUCUUGUGAACGAAAUUCUCUUAUUGCUGAAGGACAACUUGAGAGAGCAAUGGCUUGGGCUUGUGGAAAUUCCAGUAAUUCUGGAAAUACUUCAACCACAAAUUCAGGAAUUCCUCCUGAGUUCCAUGAACAUAUUAAGAAUCGGAGGCAGAUUUUAUGGGAAUCUAGAGAAAAGGCAUCAGACAUUGUGAAGUUGUGUGUGUCAGUGUUAGAGUUUGAAGCAUCAAGAGAUGGGUAUUUGUUUAUACCAGACCAACCUUAUCCCUUUAGGAGUAGUGUUGAUGCCAAGACAUGGCAGCAGGUGUACUUGAAUGCACUAACAAGAUUAGAUGCUACUUUUCAUUCUUAUUCACGUACUGAACAAGAGUGGAAGCUUGCACAAUGCACUGUUGAAGCUGCUUCCAAUGGAUUAUAUACUGCUAGCAAUGAACUCUCCAUUGCCUCUCUAAAAGCAAAGUCAGCUUCAGGUGAUUUACAAAACACGGUUCUUUCAAUGAGGGACUGUGCAUAUGAGGCUAGUGUUACACUGUCUGCUUUUGCUCGGAUUUCAAGGAUCCAAACUGCUCUAACUUCAGAAAGUGGUUCAAUGCUUGAAGAGGUUUUAGCAAUAACUGAAGAUAUACAUGAUGUUUACAAUCUGGGGAAAGAGGCAGCUGGUAUCCACCUUUCUCUUAUGGAAGGCCUUUCGAAGGCAAAUGCCAUCCUUUUUCCACUUGAAUCGGUGCUGUCUAAGGAUGUAGCUGCUAUGGCUGAUGCAAUAGAUAGGGAAAGUGAGACCAAGAAGGAAAUAUCACACAUUCAUGGACAAGCUAUAUAUCAAUCAUAUUGUGUAAGAAUCAGGGAGGCUUGUCAGAACUUUAAGCCCUUGGUGCCCUCUCUGAUGUUAGCUGUGAAGGGACUGUAUUCAUUGUUGACAAGGCUAGCAAGAACCGCUAAUGUCCAUGCUGGCAACCUUCACAAAGCGCUUGAAGGAAUAGGAGAAAGUCAGGAAGUAAAAUCAGUGACUACUACUUUGUCAAGAUCAGAUGGUGGGGGUGAUGAUGCUGUUGAGUUUGAUGGUAAAGAAGGGGUGGGUCUCUAUAGGUCUGAAGAUGAUAAAACUGAUGAUUUCAUUGGCUUUUCUCGACUUAGUUUGGAAGACAAAGGAUGGAUAUCACCCCCAGAUAGCAUCUACUGUACUGGCUCUGGAUCUGACAUGACAGCAACCGAAGUUAGUCUUCCUGAUAGCUUGAAUGAUUCAGCAGGAAAUAAAGAGCUGCUUUCACAGGGGUCUAGUAGUAGAAACCCCACAGGUCAUAUGCAUACUGCUGUAUUCUCUCAAACUGAAGUAGAAGAAAUCUCACCCUUUGGGCUGUCACAAUCUUCUCCUGCAGAAACUGAUCUUAAUGGUUCUGGUUCUGUGAAAUCAAUCAAUGAGGCCACUGAACAUUCUGAAGCAAUAGUUGUACUAGGUGAUAAAACUGCUGCCAUCCCUGCUAACUCCCAAAAUCCAACAAAUAAAAACAUAGACAAAUUUGAUUCAGCAGAUGAGCCCCUUUCUGCAAAAGAAAUUAAAAAUGCUACAGAACACCGUGAUGCUCGUGAUCUAAACGUAAAUGCCAAUACUCGUGUUGGAAGGGGUAAAAAUGCUUAUGCUUUGUCAGUAUUGAGGCGGGUUGAGAUGAAAAUUGAUGGUCGAGAUAUCUCCGAAAGCAGAGAAAUUGAUAUUACAGAGCAAGUAGAUUAUCUACUAAAGCAAGCAACUAGUGUAGAUAAUCUAUGCAACAUGUACGAAGGUUGGACAGCAUGGAUCUGAGGUUUCAAGAGGUUCCUCAGACUGGAGCAUCUUAAGUCCCAUUCCCAAUAUUAUGCAAGAAUCGGCCUCAAGCCUCGUUUCGUUGACCACGGGCCAAACUGUGUAGCUUCUACCGUCCUCUUGAUUUCAGCUUUUGUCGAGGCAAAGUUACUAUUUUUCACCUUACAUGUGGACUUUCAUCUACCAUCCCACAAAGAAAUCCCAGGCUCACAGCUGGUCUCGUGGGAGAUGAAAAUGGAUUACCAUGCCUUCCCUCCUGGUUUAGCUCCUGCAACUUGCAUUGCCAUACUAAUUGAGGAGCACGUUUUGGAUCCUCAGCUCUUGAAGGCUGAAAGAAUGUUUUGUUUCUGGCUGGAGCAUCACACUAUUGCUAAAUUCACGUCCAGGAUGUAUUACACGUAUCCGUGUAAUCAUUUAUCUGUAAUCAAUUGCGCAUUGCUGAUCUCUCAUGUAAUUGCAGCGUGUUUGGUUUCUCAUUGGCUAGCGCGCAUCGGUUUGAAGCAACGAAGACCAGCUUAUGCGAUUUUUACUUGGAGAUUGGAGCUUAUGACGAAAUUUGUAACUUUCAAUUCCAUUUGUCAUAUUUCCGCUAUUUUAUUCUUUUUUAUCCACUCCCAUAUGUACCUAAAGUUGCCUUCAUUUGCAUCCCAAUAAUCUACCACUUCUUUUCUCUGGUAUUA